GAUGAACGCUGGCGGCGUGCCUAACACAUGCAAGUCGAGCGAAGCGCUUAAAUUAGCUUUCUUCGUCAUGACGAGUUUUGUGAGUGAUCGCCGGACGUGUGAGUAACGCGUGGGUAACCCGCCUCGUACAGGGGGCUAACAGCUAGAAAUGACUGCUAAUACCGCAUAAGACCCCAGCUUCGCAUGAAUCUGUGGUAAAAACUCCGGUGGUAUGGGAUGGAACGGCGUCUGAUUAGCUAGUUGGUAAGGUAACGGCUUACGAAGGCGACGAUCAGCAGCCGACAUGAGAGGGUGACCGGCGACACUGGGGCGGAGACACGGCCGAGAAUCUUACGGGAGGAAGCAGUGGGGAAUAUUGCACAAUGGGGGAAACCCUGAUGCAGCGACGACGCGUGAAGGAUGAAGUAUUGCGGUAUGUAAACUUAGAUAAGCAGGGGAGAAAGUGACGGUACCUGAAGAAGAAGCCCCGGCUAACUACGUG
rnacentral:rRNA from 1 species